UAAGAAUAUAGUGCGCCAAUGCAACAGAAUUUUAGUUUCUUCCAGAGAUACAUAUUGUAUUGUGUAAUAUUUUACCUUAAAAUAUUUCUCCAAUGUAUCAGGUUGAUAAAUAUGAAAAUAGACAAACGUCUGGCCGUACCUAAGAUACAAUAUAACUAACGAACUUAUUAGCUGGGCCCCAGCCCAUACCUUUAAAUGUGUGACGAUUUAAAACCAUAAAUCAAAGACAAAUGUUAUCAAUCAUCAACACCAUCAUAAUCAUCCUCAUAUAACCACAGGCCAAGUCUUUUUGGGUAACCUUUAUUUUACGAAGUCAUUUAAGAACACAUUCUCAUUUACAAUGACGACCUACCACGGCCAAACCUGGACGACGCUGGGCCAAUUGUGCACCGCACUAUGGGACUCCCAAUCACAGCCGGAUGUGAUUCAGCCUGGACCUGAACCAGGGACUGUAGUGACGCCUCUUGCACCGAGAUGCAGUGCCUGACCGCUGCACCACUGGGAGCCCAAGAUGAUGAGUACCAUCUGAGACUAAGGCUAUUGCUAUAACACGACUUUUGAAAUGGUUGACAUCCUCAAAUGGUUACACAAUACACAAAUGACAAAAAAACUUACAUUUUAGAAAAACUGUAUUUGCCAAAAAUAUUUAAAAUUAGUUGUUUUUACAAUAACCAGCAGAAAUGCAAAAAUCCAGGGGUGGGUUGGAACUCAAGAAAAACAUUUCAACCAUCUCAAACUUUACUUGAAUUUGAGAAUCCUCUCAACAAACACAAACCAACGAUAAUGAGUUUACUCUGAGACACUACAGACUCCUGGAGAUUUGUAAAAUCAUCAUGUACAUUUGCAAUUAACAAAAAUGACAAAGAAGGGAAUCAUAUUGAUCGUGAACGUUACGGCAUUAACACACAAAAUAACCGCGAAAGCGGUUCUAACCUUGACAGGCAUUAAAUGAAGUAGAAGCUACAGGAAUGUCAAAUACCAACUGCGGAAUGUACGCGAUUGGUUUCAUACCAGCCACUGAAAACUGUAGUUGACGUGAGUGAAACCAAUGGCGAUUGAAAUCACAUCUUACACGUGGGGGUUAAUGAGAUGAUUCAAUUCUGUAGUUUGAAGAAUGAUACGUCUUUUUUUUUGUCAUUCAUCAUUACAGUAUAUGAUAUAAAACACAAAAUACCAGUGUGCCAUCAGUUCACGGUAAUGAUUAGUUAAGCGAUUUAGAAAUAUACAGUAUGCAAAGAUGGAUUUAAUGGGUAUCAAAACAGGAUUGGUUUAGAAAAUCUGCACAAUUACAGUUACAAAACUUUGUGAGCAAUGAAAAGUGAUCAGUUCAGAAUAUUGUUGAAAAAGCAGACAGUGAAUUACUAACUUUGAUUGUCAUUCUUUCAGCCCAUCUUUUCACUCAGUUUUGCAAAACUAAACUGGAAGAACAUUUUAUUUUUUUACACAUGGAACACAGACGGAUCACAUCUUACUCAGGCUUACCAAUCAUCAUGUCACUUUUAACAGACAUCCACUUGUCUUUUGGAAAUAUGGACAGAAUGUUAAAACCGUACAGUAACCUCAGACGCAUCUAAUUAACAACAGUACUUCACAAUGUAGUGUUAGUGUCUACUUAUGGAGUCUGUUCCGAUAUCCUCACUGAAACUCACAACAGACACAUUGGCUACUCUUUGCUGUGCACUAAGGCCUCGUGGUCUUUGGAUGCUCUCUAUGGUGAAUGUACAUAUGCGACUUCGUCUUACUACUCUAGAAUUGGAGGGGAAAGCUCAGAGAAAAAUGAGGACUAACGAUGAAUAGAGCCCUAUAAAACCUGUUAGAUUUUUUUGCCCAAGUUCUGUUUUUCCAGGUUUCCCUCCGUUUUUUCAUGUGUUCGCUCUCAACAACAAAAAGAUCACACGUUUUAAAUAGAAAAAGAACAGCAUUUGAUAUUCUAAGUCCACCACAAUGCUUAAACCACAUCAGGAGAUCACUUUCGAGGUCUGUGAAAAAUCAAAUACAUUUAUAUUUUUGGCUGUAGUUUGCACCAGCCAAGAGACUUGUUUGGUUAUCUGUGUUUCUGUAACGUGUGGUUGCAGUAUGCUGAACAAUUUAAAAAACAUUUUUUAGAAAGCCUUCCCAUCUACCAGAAAACGGUGAUUAUUAGCAUCAUUGCUAACGGCUACACGAAGUGGUAGACAAACGUGCACUCAGAUAGGGGAAUUACCAUGCCUUUUGCUUCUGAAAGUGGAAGGAAAAUACAAAUCACGGGUGCAAUUUGUUUAUGUCUUAUGAUAAUCUUGGCUAAAUAAUACAUUUUCAAAUACAUUUAGUUGAUUUCCUACCAAAGUACAAUAAAUGUUGUAAUAUUCUUGAAUUCGUGAUUCCACCCACAGACUUUCGUAGG
rnacentral:lncRNA from 13 species